AGCUUUUUAGUUUAUUUUUUGAAUGUUUAUUUGUGGUAUAAGAGGAUUUUUUGGCUA
rnacentral:tRNA from 2 species